AUUGAACGCUGGCGGCAUGCUUUACACAUGCAAGUCGAACGGCAGCGCGGGCUUCGGCCUGGCGGCGAGUGGCGAACGGGUGAGUAAUGCAUCGGAACGUGCCCAGUAGUGGGGGAUAGCCCGGCGAAAGCCGGAUUAAUACCGCAUACGACCUGAGGGUGAAAGCGGGGGACCGAAAGGCCUCGCGCUAUUGGAGCGGCCGAUGUCGGAUUAGCUAGUUGGUGGGGUAAAGGCUUACCAAGGCGACGAUCCGUAGCUGGUCCGAGAGGACGACCAGCCAGACUGGGACUGAGACACGGCCCAGACUCCUACGGGAGGCAGCAGUGGGGAAUUUUGGACAAUGGGGGCAACCCUGAUCCAGCCAUGCCGCGUGCGGGAAGAAGGCCUUCGGGUUGUAAACCGCUUUUGUUCGGGAAGAAAUCCUCUGGGCUAAUACCCCGGGGGGAUGACGGUACCGGAAGAAUAAGCACCGGCUAACUACGUG
rnacentral:rRNA from 1 species